rnacentral:lncRNA from 1 species
CUCACUCUCCUGUUUUCAGUGAUGCUGGUACAAACAACCCUCUGUUCUGCCAGCAUCUCUAUUGGUUUCUUAUGAUUUGAAGAAUAAAACCAGUGGUAAGGGAUUGGG